AGGACGAACGCUGGCGGCGUGCCUAACACAUGCAAGUCGAGCGAGGAGAUUCCUUCGGGAUGAUCCUAGCGGCGGACGGGUGAGUAACACGUGGGCAACCUGCCUCAUAGAGAGGAAUAGCCUUCCGAAAGGGAGAUUAAUACCUCAUAACAUUGCAGUUUCGCAUGGAACAGCAAUUAAAGGAGUAAUCCGCUAUGAGAUGGGCCCGCGGCGCAUUAGCUAGUUGGUGAGGUAACGGCUCACCAAGGCGACGAUGCGUAGCCGACCUGAGAGGGUGAUCGGCCACAUUGGGACUGAGACACGGCCCAGACUCCUACGGGAGGCAGCAGUGGGGAAUACUGCACAAUGGGGGAAACCCUGAUGCCAGCAACGCCGCGUGAGUGAUGACGGCCUUCGGGUUGUAAAGCUCUGUCUUCAGGGACGAUAAUGACGGUACCUGAGGAGGAAGCCACGGCUAACUACGUGCCAGCCGCCGC
rnacentral:rRNA from 1 species